rnacentral:rRNA from 1 species
AUUGAACGCUGGCGGCAGGCCUAACACAUGCAAGUCGAACGAGUGGCGGACGGGUGAGUAAUGUCUGGGAAACUGCCUGAUGGAGGGGGAUAACUACUGGAAACGGUAGCUAAUACCGCAUACCAUCGGAUGUGCCCAGAUUGGAUUAGCUUGUUGGUGGGGUAACGGCUCACCAAGGCGACGAUCCCUAGCUGGUCUGAGAGGAUGACCAGCCAAACUGGAACUGAGACACGGUCCAGACUCCUACGGGAGGCAGAAGUGGGGAAGAGUGCACAAGGGGCGCAAGCCUGAUGCAGCCAUGCCGCGUGUAUGAAGAAGGCCGUCGGGUUGUAAAGUACGUUCAGCGGGGAGGCGUUACCCGCAGAAGAAGCACCGGCUAACUCCGUGCCAGCAGCCGCGGUAAUAC